CUAAGAAAUUAAAGCAUGUCAGGUAGAGGGAAAGGUGCAGGAAGGAAGAGGAGACAGCCAUCCCCUACAACAAGGGCUGGGAUGAAGAGGGGACGACAAGACAAUGAUGAAAAUGAAGGAGAAAGCUUGACCCUCUGACAGUCAAGAACGGCCAUCAGGUUUUGGAGCACGAAUGAGGAUGAACAGCUGUUUACUGAUCGUGCCUCUGGAGAAGGGCUGGGUUUUGGAAUAUACAUUGCAGGCAAAUGGGUUGCAGAAAGGUGGCCACAGACAUGGCACACAAAAGGAUACAUCGCUUUCGGGAGCUAGCUCCCACAGCAGAUCAGGAACCAUACAAAAUGCCAACCCAGCUUUGGAAAAUAUUCGAGACAGAGCUAUUAACUUAAUACAAGCUAGCCUUUCAGUCAACACAAAAGGGGCCUAUCAAACAGCGUUGCGCAGCUUUUACAAGUUCAUGCAAGAUUAUUCCAUACCCUCAAUUUGGCCAGUGCCAAUAAAACAUAUCAUUCUUUACAUAUC